rnacentral:ncRNA from 1 species
AUAACAAGUUAGUGAUGACAAAGGCCCGUGUUGGCCGAGUUCGAAAGAACUAUUCACUUAACUGACC